rnacentral:rRNA from 1 species
GACGAACGCUGGCGGCGUGCUUAACACAUGCAAGUCGAACGGAAAGACCCUGCUUUUGUGGGGUGCUCGAGUGGCGAACGGGUGAGUAACACGUGAGUAACCUGCCCUUGACUUUGGGAUAACUUCAGGAAACUGGGGCUAAUACCGGAUAGGAGCUCCUGCUGCAUGGUGGGGGUUGGAAAGUUUCGGCGGUUGGGGAUGGACUCGCGGCUUAUCAGCUUGUUGGUGGGGUAGUGGCUUACCAAGGCUUUGACGGGUAGCCGGCCUGAGAGGGUGACCGGCCACAUUGGGACUGAGAUACGGCCCAGACUCCUACGGGAAGCAGCAGUGGGGAAUAUUGCACAAUGGGCGGAAGCCUGAUGCAGCAACGCCGCGUGCGGGAUGACGGCCUUCGGGUUGUAAACCGCUUUCGCCUGUGACGAAGCGUGAGUGACGGUAAUGGGUAAAGAAGCACCGGCUAACUACGUG